rnacentral:rRNA from 1 species
GAUGAACGCUAGCUACAGGCUUAACACAUGCAAGUCGAGGGGUCUUGACGGAGCUUGCUCUUGAUAGACGACCGGCGCACGGGUGAGUAACGCGUAUCCAACCUGCCCUUCAUAUUGGGAUAGCCUUCCGAAAGGGAGAUUAAUACCGAAUAACAUAUCAAGAUUGCAUGAUAUUGAUAUGAAAGAUCCGUCGAUGAAGGAUGGGGAUGCGUUUCAUUAGGUAGUAGGCGGGGUAACGGCCCACCUAGCCAACGAUGAAUAGGGGUUCUGAGAGGAAGGUCCCCCACACUGGAACUGAGACACGGUCCAG